GACGAACGCUGGCGGCGUGCUUAACACAUGCAAGUCGAACGAAGUGGCGAACGGGUGAGUAAUACGUGGGUAACCUGCCCUCCUUUUUGGGAUAAGCCUUGGAAACGGGGUCUAAUACCGAAUAAAGGGGGAUGGGCUCGCGGCCUAUCAGCUUGUGGGUGGGGUGAUGGCCUACCAAGGCGGUGACGGGUAGCCGGCCUGAGAGGGGUACCGGCCAGAUGGGGACUGAGAUAUGGACCAGACUCCUACGGGAGGCAGCAGGGGGGGAUAUUGCACAAGGGGCGAAAGCCUGAUGCAGCGACGCCGCGUGAGUGAUGACGGCCUUCGGGUUGUAAAGCUCUGUUAAUCGGGACAUGUUACCGGAAUAGAAAGCCACGGCUAACUACGUGCCAGCAGCCGCGGUAAUUC
rnacentral:rRNA from 1 species